UACAGAGGUCCCAAGCGUUGUUCGGAUUCACUGGGCGUAAAGGGUGCGUAGGUGGUGAGGUAAGUCGGAUGUGAAAGCUCGGAGCUCAACUCCGAAAUGGCAUUGGAAACUACCUUGCUCGAGGGUUGGAGGGGGGACUGGAAUGCUUGGUGUAGCAGUGAAAUGCGUAGAUAUCAAGUGGAACACCAGUGGCGAAGGCGAGUCUCUGGACGACACCUGACGCUGAGGCACGAAAGCCAGGGGAGCAAACGGG
rnacentral:rRNA from 1 species